rnacentral:rRNA from 1 species
GAUGAACGCUGGCGGCGUGCCUAAUACAUGCAAGUCGAGCGAACAGAUGAGGAGCUUGCUCCUCUGACGUUAGCGGCGGACGGGUGAGUAACACGUGGAUAACCUACCUAUAAGACUGGGAUAACUUCGGGAAACCGGAGCUAAUACCGGAUAAUAUAUUGAACCGCAUGGUUCAAUAGUGAAAGACGGUUUUGCUGUCACUUAUAGAUGGAUCCGCGCCGCAUUAGCUAGUUGGUAAGGUAACGGCUUACCAAGGCAACGAUGCGAAGCCGACCUGAGAGGGUGAUCGGCCACACUGGAACUGAGACACGGUCCAGACUCCUACGGGAGGCAGCAGUAGGGAAUCUUCCGCAAUGGGCGAAAGCUUGACGGAGCAACGCCGCGUGAGUGAUGAAGGUCUUCGGAUCGUAAAACUCUGUUAUUAGGGAAGAACAAAUGUGUAAGUAACUAUGCACGUCUUGACGGUACCUAAUCAGAAAGCCACGGCUAACUACGUG